UCCCUUCCUAUGUUGCUUUGCUAUUGAUUCCAUGUAGCUUUUUCUUUCUUCUGUUUAUAGUUGGUUAAUUUCGGGAUGUCUCUAAUGCUUCCAUGAAAGUGCUGACCUUAAAGGAUAUUGAACCUUGCAAUGGAUAUCUCGAAUGCUUCCACAUCUUUGCAUGCAUAAGUUGUUUACUUGGAUCAUUCGUUUGGAAUGCUGUUAACAUUUAGUGUUUGCAGUCUCGUGAUCAUGACUCUGGUGGACGCAGCGCAUGGAAAACAAUGGCAUGUUUCCUACGGGGAUUCAAGGCACACAUUUCUCCUUCAUGACUCUCUUGGUGGAAAUUAAAAAAACAACAAUUAUUGCAAAUGUCAGCCCAUCUAUUUGGUGUAAGUUUCUCCUUGGAUGAGAAACAUCCCAUUGCUUAUGCCAAAGUGGAAAUUGUUGAAGCAUCAGACAUGAAACCAUCCGACUUAAAUGGUUCGUUCCACACCAGACCACACCCAUGGGAAAAGAUAUUCUGUUUCUCUGCUUUACCUCUCUCUUUCUGAUUUUUCUGUUUUGGAUGGCAGAGAGCUACAUUGCAUAAGGUAUUAGAAUGGUAAUGCAUAUCUUCCUUCUCUCUCUUGGUAAGACCACUCUUAAGGAACUUUAUAUCACUGAUAAUGUUAAGAAACAUUUUGAUGCUCAUGCAUGGAUUUCUGUAUCAGUUUAAAAACCUAAGAUUCUUACUAGUGCCGCUUCAAAUCCUAUAAAUUGUAUUCCAACUUAAACAAAUGUAGGGUGAAAAGACAAUCUCUCCACCUUGACAUGCCAAUCCUUUCUAGUGUUGUGCCUGCCAACCUUUUCUAACAAGAACAUGGGCAUGAAUACGUGGAGUGAUUCCUAAUGACACUUUCAACCUAAUUUGAAGCAGCCAGUGCGGGGACUUUUCUUUUUUUGGAGGCAGCUUCACCAAGAGUUUUUAGAUCAUCGGGUACCGACUCUUUUAAAGAAUUGGCUUGAACCACUUACCAAUGGAAGCUUACCCAAUAUGAAUAUCAGAACUUCCAUAUUGAAGAUCUUGAUUGAUGUGCUCAAUGCAUUGGUCAGUCUUUUAUGUAGGUCAGGUAUAUCUGCGUAGACAUUAUGGGGUGAUGGUUGGCUUCUACGAUUGUUUGAAUGCCAUUAUAACUUUAUAGAGUAAUCACACUUAAAGCAAAUGUUCACACCCAGAAUAUUAGAGAUCGAGUGUGUACUCAACUCUUGAAAUUCAAGGCAGGACUGACAGCUGUCUUUGGCAAUUUCAUCGUGUUCUAACAAACAUUCGGCUAUAUUAACAAAGCAAUUGUUUCAUAACUCA